rnacentral:rRNA from 1 species
UACGGGGGGGGCAAGCGUUGUUCGGAAUUACUGGGCGUAAAGGGCUCGUAGGCGGCCAACUAAGUCAUACGUGAAAUCCCUCAGCUUAACUGGGGAACCGCGUGUGAUACUGGAUGGCUUGGAUUUGGGAGAGGGAUGCGGAAUUCCAGGUGUAGCGGUGAAAUGCGUAGAUAUCUGGAGGAACACCGGUGGCGAAGGCGGCAUCCUGGACCAAUAUUGACGCUGAGGAGCGAAAGCGAGGGGAGCAAACGGG